rnacentral:rRNA from 1 species
AAUGGGCGCAAGCCUGAUGCAGCGACGCCGCGUGAGGGAUGACGGCUUUCGGGUUGUAAACCUCUUUUACUAUCGAACAAGGCACAGUCUUUUGUUGUGUUGAGGGUAGGUGGUGAAUAAGCGCCGGCUAACUACGUGCCAGCAGCCGCGGUAAUACGUAGGGCGCGAGCGUUGUCCGGAAUUAUUGGGCGUAAAGAGCUCGUAGGCGGCUUGUCGCGUCUGCUGUGAAAUCCCAGGGCUUAACUCUGGGCGUGCAGUGGGUACGGGCAGGCUAGAGUGCGGUAGGGGUGAUUGGAAUUCCUGGUGUAGCGGUGGAAUGCGCAGAUAUCAGGAGGAACACCGAUGGCGAAGGCAGGUCACUGGGCCGUUACUGACGCUGAGGAGCGAAAGCAUGGGGAGCGAA